UCAAAACAGUUAGCACAUAACUGAUGAGAUAGGCUGAUGUGCAGAUACAAACUGGUGAAGUUCAGUACUAUAAAGGAUCAAAGCUAAACAUUGGAAGCAUUUAAAGAAAGAAAUUGUUACUGCUAGUUGGGGGGCUGUCAUAUACCAUACAUGGAAAGCUAGAAACUGAAAGAUUUUUAAACAUAUAGUUGUACAGACAGAGAUUGUGAUAGGCCAGAUAAAGAAGGAAAUUGUAGAUAGGUUAGACCUUUUUAAGUUGUCUAAAACAGCUAAUAGUUGUCAUAGGUUCAUACAUAACUACUUGCAUCAUUAUCUUUUUGUUUACCUACUAUAUUUUUGUUAUCUUUUUAAGAUUUUCUAGGCUGACGCUCUAUGUAUGUUGUUGCAGUCUUAAGUUGCGAUUGUUUUCUAAGCCCUUUUGCUUGACUGGUAAGAAUUCAUGCUCUUUAUCUUUGGUAGCUGAUUAAUAAUCUCAAUAGGUGUUUGAUAGCCGAUUAGUACUUUCUGCAUAUUGUUAGUUUUGAUUCUUUGACAGUUUAAGCACAUUGCUUGGUGCUGAUAAACUUUUCAGGUGAAUGCUAGGUAAAAAUACAACUAAUGCUUGAAACGUAAAACAAUAUCAGAUUGAUAUGUUGGUGUGGUGAGAUUAUAAAGAGUCCAUCCCUUCUUGCUGUUGAAAAAGGUCGAGAUCCAACACCAGGUGAGGUACAUUUGCACGUCCAUACACAUGAUUAUGAUGGGGAAUCUUUUAUUGAUGAGCAUUCCCGAGAUGUCCAUGUACAAGGAGAAAGAACGAAGGAAUUCCGAGCAUUUUAGUGAAGUUUUGGAAGAAUUGCGCUCGAGAAAAGAGACGAGAAGAAAGUUGGAAGAAAAAGUUGAACCACUUAAGGUCUUGCGGCACCUGUGCGUCGUGCAGGUGUCGCCAAUUGAAGCGGCCUCUGAAAAAAAUCUCUUCUUCCGCAUCGCACAGGUGGCGCACGUCGUCGACAGUUUUCCUAUUUCGUUCGGGAUUUGGUUCUACUUAUUCCAGACUUAGCCCUAGACUAUAAAUAUACGUUUUUAUUGUAUGAACGAAGCUGGGACUUAUUUUGAGCAUUGUAAGCCGUCGUUCUUAGGUUUCUUUUCUUUUCUUAUUAUUAUUCAUCAUACACCCUAUGUUAUUCAUGAAUUCUUGCAUCUCUUCUCGAAUCAUGAGUAGCUAAACUCUCUAAUUCUAGGUUGUGGCAAAGACAUGAUAGUUGGUUUGACGACAGUUAUUAUCUAUUGAAUUUCC